UGGGGAAUAUUGGACAAUGGGCGCAAGCCUGAUCCAGCAAUGCCGCGUGUGUGAAGAAGGCCUGCGGGUUGUAAAGCACUUUAAGCAGGAAAGAAGGGUGGGGUGUUAAUACCAUCUCACAUUGACGUUACCUGCAGAAUAAGCACCGGCUAACUCCGUGCCAGCAGCCGCGGUAAUACGGAGGGUGCGAGCGUUAAUCGGAAUUACUGGGCGUAAAGCGUGCGUAGGCGGUUGGAUAAGUCUGAUGUGAAAGCCCUGGGCUUAACCUGGGAAUGGCAUUGGAUACUGUCGGACUGGAGUGUGGUAGAGGGUAGUGGAAUUUCCGGUGUAGCAGUGAAAUGCGUAGAGAUCGGAAGGAACACCAGUGGCGAAGGCGGCUACCUGGACCAACACUGACGCUGAGGUACGAAAGCGUGGGGAGCAAACAG
rnacentral:rRNA from 1 species